UUUAUCGUGAGGUAUGCACUGAAGGAAGCAGAACUGCAAAAGUCUGUACCGACGAACAGAAAGUACAUAAGAGGCAUAACAAUAAGGAUGAGUAUCCACAGCAAUACGAAGUCCAAAACAGUGUUCUGAACAUGCUAUUAAAUCAGAUUAUUGUUAUGUAGAUGUACCGGCGAUAGACGGAAGGAAAAAGC
rfam:Bacteroides coprocola DSM 17136 Scfld_02_34 genomic scaffold, whole genome shotgun sequence.